CCUCUCUCUCUCUCUCUCCAUCUGCCAUGGCCAGCAACAGCGUCCGGUGCCAUCUCUCUCUCUCGUCCUUCUCCCUGUUCUAUCGCCCAUUCGCCACCGAGAACGCGGCUGUCUUGGUUCAAAGCCCGGUGAUCUCCCUCGUUCGCCGCAGAUUGCGUCUCCCAAGGGUUUGGUGAGAAGGAUCCAUUGUUAUCCUCUGCUUUGGUACCGUGACUCGUCUCUUCUCUCUGAUGAACGAAGUAUUCACAUAGCAUCCGAACCACCACCAAAUGGAACCUUUUCUUCCCCACUUUAUGGCAUUUGCUUUGUUUGAUUUGUGAGAGAGAGAGAGAGAGAGAGAGAGAGAGAGAGAGAGGUAUCAUAUGCUUUUCUUUCCUUUAUGAAUAUCACAUAAUCAUAUGCUGCCCCUCACCUUAAUGAAUAGUCAACCCGUCCCAUUGGGCUAAUGGUUUUCUAUUUUCUUGAUUACAAAAAUCCUAAAGGGAUAACGAUUUUAUGUGUGUUUUUUGUGACGAUGAGGAUAUACAUUAAUUUAAAAUUAAAUUACUGA